rnacentral:rRNA from 1 species
GCUCCGACUGAGGGUGAAAGUGGGGGACCGCAAGGCCUUUGCCAUAGGAGCGGCCGAAGUCUGAUUAGCUAGUUGGUGAGGUAAAGGCUCACCAGGCGACGAUCAGUAGCUGGUCUGAGAGGACGAUCAGCCACACUGGGACUGAGACACGGCCCAGACUCUACGGGAGGCAGCAGUGGGGAAUUUUGGACAAUGGGCGAAAGCUGAUCCAGCAAUGCCGCGUGUGUGAAGAAGGCCUUCGGGUUGUAAAGCACUUUUGUCCGGAAAGAAAUGGCUCUGGUUAAUACCUGGAGUCGAUGACGGUACCGGAAGAAUAAGGACCGGCUAACUACGUGCCAGCAGCCGCGGUAAUACGUAGGGUCCAAGCGUUAAUCGGAAUUACUGGGCGUAAAGCGUGCGCAGGCGGUUGUGCAAGACCGAUGUGAAAUCCCCGGGCUUAACCUGGGAAUUGCAUUGGUGACUGCACGGCUAGAGUGUGUCAGAGGGGGGUAGAAUUCCACGUGUAGCAGUGAAAUGCGUAGAGAUGUGGAGGAAUACCGAUGGCGAAGGCAGCCCCCUGGGAUAACACUGACGCUCAUGCACGAAAGCGUGGGGAGCAAACAGGAUUAGAUACCCUGGUAGUCCACGCCCUAAACGAUGUCAACUAGUUGUUGGGGAUUCAUUUCCUUAGUAACGUAGCUAACGCGUGAAGUUGACCGCCUGGGGAGUACGGUCGCAAGAUUAAAACUCAAAGGAAUUGACGGGGACCCGCACAAGCGGUGGAUGAUGUGGAUUAAUUCGAUGCAACGCGAAAAACCUUACCUACCCUUGACAUGCCACUAACGAAGCAGAGAUGCAUUAGGUGCUCGAAAGAGAAAGUGG